CAGGAUUGUAGCUUGGCGAUUCCUAGUUCCAGCGUCGGAAUGGCGUGUAGGGCAUCUCUGUAGUGAAUCAGGAGCUUGGCGGGGUAACCCCAUCGGUAAGCGAUGUUGUGGUCUCUCAGUGUGGUUGUAACUGGGGUUAGGUUCUUCCUGAAUUGUAGCGUCGCUGCAGAUAAGUCUGCAAAGAGUUUGAUUCGGCUGUAG